rnacentral:rRNA from 1 species
CAGCCGCCACGGUAAUACAGAGGGUGCGAGCGUUAAUCGGAUUUACUGGGCGUAAAGCGUGCGUAGGCGGCUUUUUAAGUCGGAUGUGAAAUCCCUGAGCUUAACUUAGGAAUUGCAUUCGAUACUGGGAAGCUAGAGUAUGGGAGAGGAUGGUAGAAUUCCAGGUGUAGCGGUGAAAUGCGUAGAGAUCUGGAGGAAUACCGAUGGCGAAGGCAGCCAUCUGGCCUAAUACUGACGCUGAGGUACGAAAGCAUGGGGAGCAAACAGGAUUAGAUACCCGGGUAGUCCCUGUCUCUUAUAC